CCCCAGUAAUACCAUGUUCACCUUACAAGUUAGCAAGAAGCAGAGAAGUGCAGAGACACCAUCGUGCACAACUACAUUUUGGCUAGGCGCAGAACAAAGUUAUCACUGAAAAGUGGUCCGGUUCUGAUUGCGAUUGACGGAUGAUAUUAUAUAUGUGCCAAAGAGGGGUCGGCUGUGCAACCAGGUUUCUUUUCAGUUUGGCAAAAUCACCAGAAUUGGAUCACUGCAAAUGACCAAAAUAGACGAGUUGGCAGGAUCAUUGGCCACUUUGCCGACUCCAAGUCCCGAGUUCCUGAAGAUCUUGUUUCCUGAUUCUGAAACUGUGUUCCUGAUCCGGUAACCCUUUACCUGUUCCUGUCCUGUCCCUGUUCCCUCUGGUUCUGACUCCCUGGUAUGACCUUGGUUUGUUUCUUGGCUCCGCAAGUUCUCUGCCUGUCCUAACCUUUGGCCUUGACUUAUUUUACUGCCUACCCUCAAUUGUACUCAUCUCUAUCUGGGAAAUCCUUAAACAUGUUUCCUACACUAUGUGAGAUCUGCAUGGGAAUUGGACAAUCCCUCUCAAUCAUACAAAAUGGAACAGGCAGAAUAAAUGGAUCUCAGAGAACCCCAAGUGAUGAUUCGUAUCACCUUCAGAAGUAUCAAGAUGAAAAAGAAUAAAAUAUGAUAUCAGGAGAAUUAUUGUUAAAGAAUUCAAGAAGGCAGAGGACAUUAAAAACACAGGGACAGAACCUUGAAACAUAUGAAACAUAUACAGGUUGACUAGAGGGUUAAUAUUUUACCAACUGUCACUUUUAUUGUAUCUAAUUAGGUAUGAACAUACCAUUCAACCUAUAACAAUCAGCCUAAACCACUAUCACAGUUUCUCAGUUUAAAACUCAAUAGAUGUAUAACAGAGCCAAAUAGGUUGUAAAUAAUAUAAUGCAUGAAAAGUACAAACCAAUAGAAGUCUUAAGUGCAUAUAGAAUUAUACCAGAGGCUCUAAGCAAACUGCUAGAGUAUAGGUAUAAAUGAAACUAAAGUGAGCAUGUACAGAGAAAGAGAAAAAAAGGUAGAAAAGCAGAAAAUAUGGUUGAAUACCCCAUCUCAAAUAAAUAUGACCAUGGCCUGCUUCUACAAAACAUAGCAGCCAAUUAGCUGAAAAAUAAAUACUUUGUGGAAGUGAAGAUGUUAUAGAGAUGACCUAAUAUAGCAACUAUAUGACUUGUGAAAGGAAUUCACUAAGCAAUGCUUGGUGACAGGCAAUUAUAUCAUCCUCUUUGUAUGGGAAAUUUAACAUAUUUACAACACUAAUUGAAUUUCAUUCCAACACUGGUGCAUUUUAUGCAUUUUUUGACGUUGUUAGCUGUACGUAUAUUUGAUUUGCCUUAAAGCUUUCCUCCGAUUUUUACCUGGAGACUAAGAUUCUCUCUCUUCCUGUCUUCCUGAUUGAAAUCAUUACACUGUUCUCAAACACUUUGUGAUUAGUGUCUUUUUAUUGUGGGUAAAAGUCUUAUGCCACAGUUGAGCAACAGGGUCUUUCAUUUAUCUGAAACAAUCAAAUAGGCAAUUUAUUCUGAUUGUUUGGUAAUGUGUGAAAAAGAAAUAAAUGGUUCUGUGGAAGCCUUAAGAAUUCACACAUUCACAGAAAAAAAAAGCUGUCAGUUGCAUCUGUGACAGGCAAUUGCCAAGAGAACUCUUUUCCCUUACAGAAAGUUAUGAAACUGUGAACAAAUCACAGUAUUUCUUACAAGUGACAUGAAGUGUAGCUGAACUGUGCUUUCGAGGCUCUAUGCACAAUUUGCAGCGCACAUUACUCCUUUCACCCAGUCUAUAUUGUCUCACUGUCUUUCAGUAGAGGGAAGUUACAUUUCUGGAUUCUGGCUUUUGCUGUUAUUUAUUUUUUUUCUUCCAACAAUUGACUCAUUCUGUCGCCUCUCUGUCUAUGUAUCUCUAAGUGGGUUUGCCUAGUAACAGCAGUAAAAAGUACUCAAUAUUGAUUGCCACUGAUGAAUUACAAUCUCACAACAAGUCAUAAUGCGCAGUUUGCAAAUGUGGGAAUGUGGGAGGUUGUUUGAUAUAAUGAACCGUAAUUGCUGGUGCAAAUGGACGUAAGCAACAGCUCAGGAGAAUGUUUUGCAAUGCAUUGGCUUUUGUACAUUACAGACUACAAUCUACAUCAAGAAGAACAACGCUAUUUGCGAGAAAAUUUUAACACUCUGGGGUCUUCUAAUCAGCAUGAUCUAAUCAGACAAGACAAAAGCUCAUGCCGCUAUGAAAAGACGUAUUCACUAGCUGGAUACACAUAACAGUCAUGACAAUGUAUCAUAAAUCUGCUAAAAAAAAAAUAAAGAU